GAUGAACGCUAGCGACAGGCCUAACACAUGCAAGUCGAGGGGCAGCACGAAUCAAGCUUGCUUGAUUUGGUGGGGACCGGCGCACGGGUGCGUAACAGGUGUGCAAUCUGUCCAUAAUCGGGGAAUAGCCCAGCGAAAGUUGGAUUAAUGCUCCAUGUGAGUUUUAGAGGCAUCUCUUUAACUUGAAACGCAAGGAUUAUGGGUGAGCACGCUUCUGAUUAGGUAGUUGGUGAGGUAACGGCUCACCAAGCCGACGAUCAGUAGGGGUUCUGAGAGGAAGGUCCCCCACAUUGGAACUGAGACACGGUCCAAACUCCUACGGGAGGCAGCAGUGAGGAAUAUUGGUCAAUGGGCGCAAGCCUGAACCAGCCAAGUCGCGUGAAGGAUGAAGGUUCUAUGGAUUGUAAACUUCUUUUGUCUGAGGGUAAAAAAGCGGACGUGUCCGUUCUUGCAAGUAUCAGACGAAUAAGCACCGGCUAACUCCGUGCCAGCAGCCGCGGUAAAAC
rnacentral:rRNA from 1 species